GAAAAAUAUAUUUUCCUGAAAUAAUUUUCUUGGGUUGAUAUUAACUACAUAAAAAUUUCUGACAUUUUCAUCUUUUCCAAUCAAGUCUACUUUUCAAAUUCUUCUGAAAAUUCUUAAAUUGGUCUUUUUUUAGCUUGCCUUAGGCUCACCUCAUAAUUUCUAAACUUCUGAAAGCAACAUCACUGGCCUUUUAAAUACCAUAUGUACCCCUUUAAAUUUAUUUCUUUAUUACAUGAUGUUUGAAAUAUUUCAGUGUGUUGAUAGUUAAGUGUGGAUGUGGCCAAACUUAAUGAAUUCCACAUUCUUGGGGCUUUGUAUUUUAUUUUAUUUUUUAAUUUCCCUACCCCAUUUAGUUAUAUAACCAUGGUUUUUUAAAAACAUUUUCUUCAAAACAUUUUAUCUGUUUAGCACAGUACAUCCCAAGCUACUGAAUAAAUCAACAAAGAUAAAAUGUGACAGUAGUAGCCUCAGGUUAUUCAUAAAUGGACGGUGUUCAUAACUGAGAAAGUGGAGGAAAAAGCGUGACUUGCUAUGUUUAGUGGUAACUGAGUUAAUUAUUUGCUGACAUUGAUAUUCCACGAUAAUUGCCACAUUUCACAGGAUUUCUCAGAGAUUCCUAGGUUAACAGCUUUCAAAUCUGAUUAACCAAACUAAAAGAAAUAAAAUCAGGAAGUUCCUGAAUUGCUGAUUGCUGGAAACAGUAUGGCAGAAACCACACCACCACAAGCCUGUUCUCCUCUUAUUACCUUCCUUAGGUAUCUAUUCUUGAGCAGAGAGAGAUGAGUAUUGGGCUACGUAAGACUUCAUGGCCAUCCACAGAGAAUCUAAGACAUCAGUAUGACACUUUGACAAAGUAUACUGAAAGUGAUGCACAGCUAACAGAUGAAAACACUGAAAACCCACAAUUCAUAACUUGUUUGACUUGAGGCACACAGUUACGAUAAUGACAACUGGAGCCAUACUGUGUUCUGCAUGCUUUCAGCAGCUCUCUCAGGUAAUUUUUAUUGUUUUAUUACUUUGGCUACUUUGUUUACCACCAGUGUAGUUUCUUGCUACAGCUUACAAUAUUUUCAUUAGAAUGGAAAAUGUUCAUCAGUAAAUUUGGUACUCUUUCUUAUUAUAAAACUUGCUGUGUUUCCUCAUAUAUUAAACACAGUCCAUGCAGGUCAGGCAACCUGCAUCUCUCAAAAGCACUGCCUACUUGCUAACCCAUCUAGUGUAAAAAGAUACUUCUAAUUGGACAUCUUUUCCAAGAAAAUUCCUUCUUUAACUAAAGGAAAACAUUCACAGCCCAUGUUCAGCUAUUUUGUGCUUAUCCAGAAACAAUGGAUUUUAGCAGGCUGGAGGUAAACAGAAGUUAAAAUAAUUCAUCAGAUUCCCUGAAGUCACCCCAGACACUACACUGUAGGUAACGUUUGUCUUUGUACACUUGUAAGAUCCCUUUUGUAACCUCCCCAGCAGAACUUUGAUGUAUGUUCCCACAUUGUAGUUAGUCUUGGGGGUUGAACUAUUUCCUACUACAGCCUGAGGUCUGUUUUGCAGGGCACAAGUAACAUUUUGUUCUGUGUACAGACACUGAAUGCACCCAUUGUGCUCAACCAACUGCACUGCACUCCCAGCUAUUUCCUCCUUGCUCACAUUUUAUGAACACCUGAGGAUGUUGGGGAUUGCAAAAAAAAAAAAUGACAAGGUGAGCUAAAACUUCUGAACUUGGGCACUCACAUUGUCUAGGUUUAAGGAUUUGUUCAACCUUUUUAGAAUUUAAUACAUUUCAGAAAUAACCUAGUGUCAAGAUUUGCCAUACUCAGUGCUCAUGGUUUAACUAGUAUAUGCUUCAGAGACACUUCUUCUGAUCUUGAAU
rnacentral:lncRNA from 1 species